GGGAAUCUGCCUUUGGGUUCGGAAUAACAGUUAGAAAUGACUGCUAAUACCGGAUGAUGUCUUCGGACCAAAGAUUUAUCGCCCAGGGAUGAGCCCGCGUAGGAUUAGGUAGUUGGUGGGGUAAGAGCCUACCAAGCCGACGAUCCUUAGCUGGUCUGAGAGGAUGAUCAGCCACACUGGGACUGAGACACGGCCCAGACUCCUACGGGAGGCAGCAGUGGGGAAUAUUGGACAAUGGGCGAAAGCCUGAUCCAGCAAUGCCGCGUGAGUGAUGAAGGCCUUAGGGUUGUAAAGCUCUUUUACCCGGGAUGAUAAUGACAGUACCGGGAGAAUAAGCUCCGGCUAACUUCGUGCCAGCAGCCGCGGUAAUACGAGGGGAGCUAGCGUUAUUCGGAAUUACUGGGCGUAAAGCGCACGUAGGCGGCUUUGUAAGUAAGGGGUGAAAGCCCAGAGCUCAACUCUGGAAUAGCCUUUUAGACUGCAUCGCUUGAAUCCAGGAGAGGUGAGUGGAAUUCCGAGU
rnacentral:rRNA from 1 species